AUUGAACGCUGGCGGCAGGCCUAACACAUGCAAGUCGAACGAGUGGCGGACGGGUGAGUAAUGUCUGGGAAACUGCCUGAUGGAGGGGGAUAACUAGUGGAACCGGUAGCUAAUACCGCAUACCAUCGGAUGUGCCCAGAUGGGAUUAGCUUGUUGGUGGGGUAACGGCUCACCAAGGCGACGAUCCCUAGCUGGUCUGAGAGGAUGACCAGCCACACUGGAACUGAGACACGGUCCAGACUCCUACGGGAGGCAGCAGUGGGGAAUAUUGCACAAUGGGCGCAAGCCUGAUGCAGCCAUGCCGCGUGUAUGAAGAAGGCCUUCGGGUUGUAAAGUUCUUUCAGCGGGGAGGCGUUACCCGCAGAAGAAGCACCGGCUAACUCCGUGCCAGCAGCCGCGGUAAUUC
rnacentral:rRNA from 1 species